rnacentral:rRNA from 1 species
GAAUUUUAUAUGAAUUAUUAUAAAAUAAAAUUAGUAAUUUAUAUUUUAUUGGGAGGAUAAUUAAAUUUAAGUAACUUUAAUGUAUAAAAACUUUGAUUAAUGAAAAGAAAAAGAUGAUUAAUAUAAAAUUAUUAGAGAUUAAAUUACCUUAGGGAUAACAGCAUUAUAUUUUUUUUUAGAUCAUAUAUAAAAAAAUGUUUAU